GACGAACGCUGGCGGCGUGCUUAACACAUGCAAGUCGAGCGAGGCCCCUCCUUCGGGAGGGUGUCCUAGCGGCGAACGGGUGAGUAACACGUGGGCAACCUGCCCUCAGCUCUGGGAUAACUCCGGGAAACCGGGGCUAAUACCGGAUACGACCUCCACGGGCAUCUGCGGAGGUGGAAAGUUUUUCGGCUGAGGAUGGGCCCGCGGCCUAUCAGCUAGUUGGUGGGGUAGUGGCCCACCAAGGCGGCGACGGGUAGCCGGCCUGAGAGGGCGACCGGCCACACUGGGACUGAGACACGGCCCAGACUCCUACGGGAGGCAGCAGUGGGGAAUAUUGCGCAAUGGGCGAAAGCCUGACGCAGCGACGCCGCGUGAGGGACGAAGGCCUUCGGGUUGUAAACCUCUUUCAGCAGGGACGAAGCGAAAGUGACGGUACCUGCAGAAGAAGCACCGGCCAACUACGUG
rnacentral:rRNA from 1 species